rnacentral:lncRNA from 1 species
AGCAAAGCAAUGAAAUUGAGACUUAGAAUUCACUUAGAUUGCAGAAAUUAACUUUAAAACACAAGGGAAAGAUUUAGACAACUCCUUAGGGCCGAAUUCAUUGUUUUGGACCCUUACUUCAACAAACAAUACUUUGGAACUCUUUUUCACAUCUUUUCAACUCUUUUUUCAUACUUUUCACACUUUUUUUUUCUUCAUUUUUUUCUUUUUCCACGAAUUUUUUCUUUUCUUUUCUUUCCACACGUGCCUAUGGCACACAAAAUCACCAAAAGAAAUACUUCCCCCACACUUGUUUUCUGCCAACAUAAAUCAAAAGGAAUUCAAUUUGAAUCAUGCUUUACUAUGCUUUAAGAACAAGGGUAUGGAUGGUCCUAAUCUAGGCUAGGUGAGGAAAACAUGGGUUAAACAAAGAAUAGGCUAAACAAGGCUCAACGGGGUUAAA